UCGCGGAAUGGGUGGGGUCUAUUAACGGCAGGUCGAGCGGGACUUAAAAAGCUUGCUUUUUAAGUUAGCGGCGGACGGGUGAGUAACACGUGGGCAACCUGCCUGUAAGACUGGGAUAACUUCGGGAAACCGGAGCUAAUACCGGAUAAUCCUUUUCUACUCAUGUAGAAAAGCUGAAAGACGGUUUACGCUGUCACUUACAGAUGGGCCCGCGGCGCAUUAGCUAGUUGGUGAGGUAACGGCUCACCAAGGCGACGAUGCGUAGCCGACCUGAGAGGGUGAUCGGCCACACUGGGACUGAGACACGGCCCAGACUCCUACGGGAGGCAGCAGUAGGGAAUCUUCCGCAAUGGACGAAAGUCUGACGGAGCAACGCCGCGUGAGUGAUGAAGGUUUUCGGAUCGUAAAACUCUGUUGUUAGGGAAGAACAAGUACGAGAGUAACUGCUCGUACCUUGACGGUACCUAACCAGAAAGCCACGGCUAACUACGUGCCAGCAGCCGCGGUAAUACGUAGGUGGCAAGCGUUGUCCGGAAUUAUUGGGCGUAAAGCGCGCGCAGGCGGUCCUUUAAGUCUGAUGUGAAAGCCCACGGCUCAACCGUGGAGGGUCAUUGGAAACUGGGGGACUUGAGUGCAGAAGAGAAGAGUGGAAUUCCACGUGUAGCGGUGAAAUGCGUAGAGAUGUGGAGGAACACCAGUG
rnacentral:rRNA from 1 species